UACGUAGGGUGCAAGCGUUAAUCGGAAUUACUGGGCGUAAAGCGUGCGCAGGCGGUGUUGUAAGUCAGGUGUGAAAUCCCCGGGCUUAACCUGGGAACUGCAUUUGUGACUGCAUCGCUGGAGUGCGGCAGAGGGGGAUGGAAUUCCGCGUGUAGCAGUGAAAUGCGUAGAUAUGCGGAGGAACACCGAUGGCGAAGGCAAUCCCCUGGGCCUGCACUGACGCUCAUGCACGAAAGCGUGGGGAGCAAACAGG
rnacentral:rRNA from 1 species